rnacentral:lncRNA from 1 species
CUCCUGCUUGUAGCUGGUCAGGGGCAGGGUCGGGUCCUGGAUGGCAAACACCUUCACCACCACCAGCCCCUCCCGGUGCUUGGCUCGGGCCACCUUGAAGAAGCGGGUGCUCCCCAGGCUUUUGUCAUACUCGAAGUCGUGGAUGUCAGAGAAAUAGCUGUCCACCGAGAGGAUCUGCGACGGGGCGAUGCCAGCCAGCUGGUUCCCCAUGGCGGCCCCUCCUGCAGCGGCGGGCGGCACCCGUCCACCGGGCCCGGCUCCGAGCGGCCCCGCAGCCCCUCGUGGCGCUCACCGGCCAGGCCCAGCCCGGCACAGCCCGCCCGGCCUGACAGAGCCGGGACACCCC